UAAAAUUGAAGGGCUGCAGUAUUUUGACUGUACAAAGGUAGCAUAAUCAUUAGUCAUUUAAUUGAUGACUUGUAUGAAGGAUUGGAUGAGAUAUAAACUGUCUCUUAUAUAAAUAUAGAAUUUAAUUUUUUAAUUAAAAAGUUAAAAUAAAAUAAAAAGACGAGAAGACCCUAUAGAGUUUUAUAAAUAAUUUAGUUAAGGUUAUUUGUUUAUAAUUAAAUUAAAAUUAAAUUAUUUAUUUUGUUGGGGUGAUAGAAAAAUAUAUUUAACUUUUUUUUUUAAUUAAAACAUUUAUAAGUGGUUAGGUGAUCCAAUAUUAUUGAUUAGAAGAAAAAAUUACCUUAGGGAUAACAGCGUAAUUUUUUUUUUUAGUUCAAAUAAGAAAAAGAGUUUGCGACCUCGAUGUUGGAUUAAGAUAAAAUUUAAAUGUAGAAG
rnacentral:rRNA from 1 species